AGAUUGAACGCUGGCGGCGUGCUUUACACAUGCAAGUCGAACGGUAACGCGGGGGCAACCCUGGCGACGAGUGGCGAACGGGUGAGUAAUACAUCGGAACGUGCCCAGUAGUGGGGGAUAGCUCGGCGAAAGCCGGAUUAAUACCGCAUACGACCUACGGGUGAAAGCGGGGGAUCGCAAGACCUCGCGCUAUUGGAGCGGCCGAUGGCAGAUUAGCUUGUUGGUGAGGUAAAAGCUCACCAAGGCGACGAUCUGUAGCUGGUCUGAGGGGACGACCAGCCACACUGGGACUGAGACACGGCCCAGACUCCUACGGGAGGCAGCAGUGGGGAAUAUUGGACAAUGGGCGAAAGCCUGAUCCAGCCAUGCCGCGUGUGUGAAGGAGGUCUUCGGAUUGUAAAGCACUUUAAGUGGAGGAAGGUUGUAACUUAAUACGUUGACUAACUUUGACGUUACCGACAGAAUAAGCACCGGCUAACUUCGCGCCAGCAGCCGCGGUAA
rnacentral:rRNA from 1 species